rnacentral:rRNA from 1 species
AUAUUAGGUUUAGUNNNUUGUGCAAACUGAAUCUAACAUAAGUGCGGGGGUACCGAAGCUAACGCGUUAAGUUCUCCGCCUGGGGAGUACGGUCGCAAGAUUAAAACUUAAAGGAAUUGACGGGGACCCGCACAAGCGGUGGUUCAUGUGGUUUAAUUCGAUGCAACGCGAAGAACCUUACCUACCCUUGAAAUACUUGGAAUCCUGCAGAGAUGUGGGAGUGCCUUCGGGAACCAAGAUACAGGUGCUGCAUGGCUGUCGUCAGCUCGUGUCGUGAGAUGUUGGGUUAAGUCCCGUAACGAGCGCAACCCUCGCCCUUAGUUGCCAUCCGAAAGGGGAACUCUAAGGGGACUGCCAGUUAUAAACUGGGGGAAGGCGGGGAUGACGUCAAGUCAUCAUGGCCCUUACGGGUAGGGCUACACACGUGAUACAAUGGGGAGUACAAAGGGUUGCCAAGCCGCAAGGUGGAGCUAAUCUCAAAAAACUUCUCGUAGUCCGGAUUGGAGUCUGCAACUCGACUCCAUGAAGCUGGAAUCGCUAGUAAUCGCGAAUCAGAACGUCGCGGUGAAUACGUUCUCGGGUCUUGUACACACCGCCCGUCACACCAUGGGAGUGGAUUGUACCAGAAGCAGGUAGCCUAACCGAAAGGAGGGCGCCUACCACGGUAUGCUUCAUGACUGGGGUGAAGUCGUAACAAGGUAGCC